ensembl:lncRNA
GUGCUUAAUAUUUGUGUAAACCAUGAUUGUCAUGGUGAUACAGGAAGGAGGGCAAAGACAGGAGGUGCAGUUCAAACUCACUUCAUUUAAUGAACAAACUUAGAACAUGGGCAGAAUGGUAAGGGAAAAACACAGCAUAACAUAAUGGUGACUGGAACACCAAAGACUGAACAGACUGGGGCUUAAAUACAUAGACAAAUGAGAAUUAAUGGGACACACUUGAACCAAAUGACUAAUCAAAUCGAGAUGGAGAAACUGGGUCACGGGAAGCACAUGGGGAGAAACACAAAACAGGAACACAAGUUUCGCGCCACUUAACUUCCAGAGGGGAGGGGGGUGGGCACUCUGGAGGCCUCUAGGGACAGGCUUGUACAGGACGGGAGGCCUCCAGGGUGGUAUCAGUUCAGGGACCCAUGGCAGAGCAAGCAGUUCAGGAGGCCAUAGCAGAACAGGCAGUCCAGGAGGCCAUAGCGGAGCAGGCGGUUCAGGAAACCAUGGCGAAACAGGUAGUUCAGAGGGCCAUGGCUGGACAGCCUCCGUGGCCUUGGCCUUGGCAAUUGGCCUGGCCACUACAGCCGGAGACGUAUAACCCCCAACCAGAAAUUUAUUGACUCUGAGUCCCUUGGCUGGGACCGGCUCUGGGCUGGGCUCAAAAGCCCGCUCCUGGCUGGACUUGGGGACACAAGACCUCUCUGGGCAUGACGUGGUAACAACAGCCCUCUCUGGGCCGGACAUGGGAACAACAGCCCUCUCUGGGCCGGACAUGGGAACAAGAGCCCUCCCAGGGCUUGACGUGGGAAGAGGAGAUGAAGGAGGGCUGGAUGGGACCAGUGGAGGCGAAGGAGACUCAGGAGAUGAAGGAGGGCUGGAAGGGACCAGCGGAGGCGAUGGAGACUGAGGAGAUGAAGGAGGGUUUGGCGCCUUGUUGAGCUUUGUGAAUUGAGUGGGAGCGGACUAGAUGGCUAGAGCCAUCUCAUGAUUCUGGUCAGGGGCUAAAGCCAUCUCACGACUCUGGUCAGUGGCUAGAGCCAACAGUCUUUUCCUCCUCAUUCUCCCUUUUGGGCUGAUGUUAAGGAGAUAGCUCCUGUUAUCAUAGGGCUUGGGAGUGAAUUGGCUUGACCGUGGAGCAGCCAGCGAGCUUGACCAUGGAGCGGCUGGUAAACUUGACUGUGGAGCAGCCGGCGUUUCUGUCCUGAGGACUGGAAAGGCUCUUGGAACUGGAGACUGCAAAAGGAACGUAGAUUUUAGCGCAGACCUGACAGAUCAGAAUGCAGGGUCCACAACUUUGGCCCCCAGGUCAGCACUGUUAGAAGUCCAUUUUCGAGCACGGGGAAACACAGGAGGAAAUUGGUGAUUAGAACCUUUGGUUAGGCAUGUGGAGGGUCCCGGCGUGGGACGAGCUGGAGAGGCAAGGUGUGUUUCAGAAGGGGCUGGAUAAGGAUGAUUCUUAUUCUUCAACCUCAAAAAUAGAACCAUUCAAAUAAAGGAUGAGAUUAAUCAACUCGAUCAAGGGAAAAAUCACUAGUAGGAAAAUCUCAACGGAUCAUUUCUUCAUCCAGACCCAACUGAAAACAAGCACUCAGGCCAGCAUCGUGUCAGCUCAACCGGUAAGACAGCUUGAGGAAUUCCUCCACAUACCUCUCCAAAGGCCGACCACCCUGCCGCAGGCACCACAGCUGGUCCCAAGGAAGGCGAAGACAGGAGGUGCAGUUCAAACUCACUUCAUUUAGUGAACAAAUGGUGA